rnacentral:rRNA from 1 species
UACAGAGGUCUCAAGCGUUGUUCGGAUUCAUUGGGCGUAAAGGGUGCGUAGGCGGCGCGGUAAGUCGGGUGUGAAAUCUCGGGGGCUCAACCCCGAAACUGCAUUCAAUACUGCGAUGCUCGAGUACUGGAGAGGAGACUGGAAUUCAUGGUGUAGCAGUGAAAUGCGUAGAUAUCAUGAGGAAGGCCAGUGGCGAAGGCGGGUCUCUGGACAGUUACUGACGCUGAGGCACGAAGGCCAGGGGAGCAAACGGGG